AUUGAACGCUGGCGGCAGGCCUAACACAUGCAAGUCGAACGAGUGGCGGACGGGUGAGUAAUGUCUGGGAAACUGCCUGAUGGAGGGGGAUAACUACUGGAAACGGUAGCUAAUAACGCAUACCAUCAGAUGUGCCCAGAUGUGCUUAGCUAGUUGGUGGGGUAACGGCUCACCAAGGCGACGAUACCUAGCUGGUCUGAGAGAAUGACCAGCCACACUGGAACUUAGACACGGUCCAGCCUCCUACGUUGGGCAGCAGUGGGGAAGAUUGCACAGUGGGCGCAAGCCUGAUGCGGCCAUGCCGCGUGUAUGAAGAAGGCCUUCGGGUUGUAAAGUACUUUCAGCGGGGAGGCGUUACCCGCAGAAGAAGCACCGGCUAACUCCGUGCCAGCAGCCGCGGUAAUAC
rnacentral:rRNA from 1 species